rnacentral:rRNA from 1 species
UACGUAGGGUGCAAGCGUUGUCCGGAAUUAUUGGGCGUAAAGAGCUCGUAGGCGGUCUGUCGCGUCUGCUGUGAAAACUCGGGGCUCAACUCCGGAUCUGCGGUGGGUACGGGCAGACUAGAGUGAUGUAGGGGAGACUGGAAUUCCUGGUGUAGCGGUGAAAUGCGCAGAUAUCAGGAGGAACACCGAUGGCGAAGGCAGGUCUCUGGGCAUUAACUGACGCUGAGGAGCGAAAGCAUGGGGAGCGAACAGG